GGUGAACGCUGGCGGUAUGCCUAACACAUGCAAGUCGAACGGCAGCACAGUAAGAGCUGGCUCGUACGGGUGGCGAGUGGCGGACGGGUGGGGAAUACAUCGGAAUCUACUUUUUCGUGGGGGAUAACGAAUGGAAACUUACGCGAAUACCGCAGACAACCGACGGGUGAAAGCAGGGGAGCUUCGGACCUUUCGGAUGUGAAUGCGCCGUUGUCGGAUUUGCUAGUUGGCGGGGUAAAGGCCCACCAAGGCGACGAGCCGUAGCUGGUCUGAGAGGAUGAUAAGCCACACUGGAACUGAGACACGGUCCAGACUCCUACGGGAGGCAGCAGUGGGGAAUAUUGGACAAUGGGCGCAAGCCUGAUACAGCCAUACCGCGUGGGUGAAGAAGGCCUUCCGGUUGUAAAGCCCUUUUGUUGGGAAAGAAAAGCAGCAGGUUAAUACCCCGCUGUUCUGACGGUACCCAAAGAAUAAGCACCGGCUAACUUCGUG
rnacentral:rRNA from 1 species